GCUGGUUUAGCUCAUUUGGUAGAGCACCUGUCUUGUAAACAGGAGGUGGUCGGUUCGAUCCCGACAACCAGCUCCA
rnacentral:tRNA from 1 species